AGAGCUGCUCCAUCAGUUCGUUCAGAUUUUUCUCAUUCCAUUUCGAAGUCUCGAAAAGGAAAGAUCAAAUUCAUGUCUAAAUUUUUACUUUGGACUUGGAAAAAAAAUUUUAUUUCGCUUUUAGUUUGUGAUAAUUUCUAGGAUUAUUUUUGUGUUCAUUAAUUAAUGUUCUUACUUCUGAAGGAACAAUGCAAAUAAGUUUGCAAACAUUAAACAAGUUUCAAAUGGAGCUGACAUGAAAAGGAAAGAUGAGAAAAAACCGUUUCGAAUGCUGUAUUCUUUUUCCAUUUCCUGACGAACAUAUUUUGUUUAAGACUUUCAAAUGUUGUUGAGCCCAUGAAGAUAUUUUUUGUAACGUUAUUAAUUCGCAUUCGAUUGCGAAGCACUCAAAAUUUAAAGUCGUACUAUGUGCUUUCCCAAAGAAGACGCAAAAAUAUAAUCAUAUACAUAAUCCCAGAACUUCCGGCUAAAAAAGGAAACGACACUACGCAACGCUUGAAUCGCUAUCCAAAGAAUUGGAAAUGGAUUAAUUCAAAGUGCCACAGAGAACACAAACUAUAUUUUUUAUACAACUUAUACGAAACAUUCAUCAUCAUUGCAUCACUGCCUGCUGUUCAAUCAGACUGCCUGCUAUACUUUCCACACUUUCAACUUUCAACACAAGGAAAUCUCAUAUUAUAUGAAUCCCACUUGUUUUUACACCUUCUUUUGCAUAUGAAGUUCGCAUCAUUUUGUGGAUUGUCCAGACUAAUUACUACACACAUAUUUUGUAAAGCAUUUCAUAUGUUUAAUAUUUUGUGAUUUACAUAUAUAUUUUGUUAUUUUCGAUUUGCGUUCAGUAUAUUUUGUACAUUUGUUUGUUACCUCGAUAA